UCGCUCCUACUGAUUGAGUGAUCCGGUGAAUGGUUCGGAUUGCUGCAUUGCUCAGUUCAAGUAAGUUGCAGCGCAAAGUGUCGUAAACCUUAUCAUUUAGAGGAAGGUG
rnacentral:rRNA from 1 species